AGAGUUUGAUCAUGGCUCAGGAUGAACGCUAGCUACAGGCUUAACACAUGCAAGUCGAGGGGAAACGAUAGAGAAAGCUUGCUUUUUCUAGGCGUCGACCGGCGCACGGGUGAGUAACGCGUAUCCAACCUGCCCACCACUUGGGGAUAACCUUGCGAAAGUAAGACUAAUACCCAAUGACGUCUCUAGAAGACAUCUGAAAGGGAUUAAAGAUUUAUCGGUGAUGGAUGGGGAUGCGUCUGAUUAGCUUGUUGGCGGGGUAACGGCCCACCAAGGCAACGAUCAGUAGGGGUUCUGAGAGGAAGGUCCCCCACAUUGGAACUGAGACACGGUCCAAACUCCUACGGGAGGCAGCAGUGAGGAAUAUUGGUCAAUGGGCGAGAGCCUGAACCAGCCAAGUAGCGUGCAGGAUGACGGCCCUAUGGGUUGUAAACUGCUUUUAUAAGGGAAUAAAGUGAGCCUCGUGAGGCUUUUUGCAUGUACCUUAUGAAUAAGGACCGGCUAAUUCCGUGCCAGCAGCCGCGGUAAUACGGAAGGUCCGGGCGUUAUCCGGAUUUAUUGGGUUUAAAGGGAGCGUAGGCCGGAGAUUAAGCGUGUUGUGAAAUGUAGAUGCUCAACAUCUGCACUGCAGCGCGAACUGGUUUCCUUGAGUACGCACAAAGUGGGCGGAAUUCGUGGUGUAGCGGUGAAAUGCUUAGAUAUCACGAAGAACUCCGAUUGCGAAGGCAGCUCACUGGAGCGCAACUGACGCUGAAGCUCGAAAGUGCGGGUAUCGAACAGGAUUAGAUACCCUGGUAGUCCGCACGGUAAACGAUGGAUGCCCGCUGUUGGUCUGAAUAGGUCAGCGGCCAAGCGAAAGCAUU
rnacentral:rRNA from 1 species